AAGUCCGGAAAGAAGGCCUAAGGGUUGGGGUUCUCAAAAAAGAAGAAGAAUGUAUUUCUGUAUCUAUUGUGAUUCUGUAUUAUAACGUCCAAAAACAAAAAAAAAAAA
rnacentral:ribozyme from 1 species